GUGGGGAAUUUUGGACAAUGGGCGCAAGCCUGAUCCAGCAAUGCCGCGUGCAGGAAGAAGGCCUUCGGGUUGUAAACUGCUUUUGUACGGAACGAAACGGUCCUGGUUAAUACCUGGGGCUAAUGACGGUACCGUAAGAAUAAGCACCGGCUAACUACGUGCCAGCAGCCGCGGUAAUACGUAGGGUGUGAGCGUUAAUCGGAAUUACUGGGCGUAAAGCGUGCGCAGGCGGUGCUGUAAGACAGGCGUGAAAUCCCCGGGCUCAACCUGGGAAUUGCGCUUGUGACUGCAGUGCUGGAGUACGGCAGAGGGGGAUGGAAUUCCGCGUGUAGCAGUGAAAUGCGUAGAUAUGCGGAGGAACACCGAUGGCGAAGGCAGUCCCCUGGGCCUGUACUGACGCUCAUGCACGAAAGCGUGGGGAGCAAACAGGAUUAGAUACCCGGGUAGUCC
rnacentral:rRNA from 1 species